rfam:Lingula anatina scaffold592, whole genome shotgun sequence.
AGCUUUGCGCAGUGGCGGUACCAUAGCCAAUGAGGUUUAUCCGAGGCGUGGUUAUUGCUAGUUGAAAACUAUACCCAAUACCCCGUGCUGACGUCGUGAAAUACCGACGGCAGCACAAUUUUUGUACGCCUCUACGGGGG